AACAUAAUUCUUGAUAGAUCAUAAUGCCUGGAAUGGUUUAUGGUUAAAAUGAUUCGUCGCCAUAGGAUGGGACUGCGGCCUAUCAGCUUGUUGGUGAGGUAAUGGCCCACCAAGGCGAUUACAGGUACGGGCUCUGAGAGGAGAAGCCCGGAGAUGGGUACUGAGACAAGGACCCAGGCCCUAUGGGGCGCAGCAGGCGAGAAAACUUUGCAAUGUGCGAAAGCACGACAAGGUUAAUCCGAGUGAUUUCUGCUAAAGAAAUCUUUUGCCAGUCAUAAAACCACUGGUGAAUAAGGGGUGGGCAAGUUCUGGUGUCAGCCGCCGCGGUAAAACCAGCACCUCAAGUUGUCAGGAUGAUUAUUGGGCCUAAAGCAUCCGUAGCCGGCUUUGUUAGUUUUCGGUUAAAUCCAUGUGCUCAACGCAUGGG
rnacentral:rRNA from 1 species